CUUAAUCUCUUGUAUUUGUUUCUUCUUAUGAAGAACUUCAAAAGAAACUGGAAUUUGCUAAUCAGUGAAUCUGACUGAAAUUUUGGAGAGGUAUUUUUUUCAUUCUUCUCUUGGUUCAAAGAUUACAAGUUUUUAAAAAAAAUUAUGUUUAUGGUUUAAAUAUUCUUCGUUGCUAGGAUCAGGAACUUCAAAAAUUAUAUAAGGAGAUGACGUUCAUACAAAAAUGGAGGAAGAAUAGAAAUCUUAAGGAAUAUUGAUUAGUGGAGAAUUCUACAAUGCACAAGAAGGAUCUCCAUAUUUAUUUUCAUGGAAUAUUUUGUUCAAUCAUUUUCAUGGAAAAAUUUGUUCAAGGAAUAUUUUCUCCCUUUUAAUUUAUCUUCUUGUUUCUUUUGAGUCAUG
rnacentral:lncRNA from 1 species